CGAAGCCCAAUAAGUUCGCUUGGAAGAGGCCGUUCCUGAGGAGCCAGCAGAGGCAGGGCUUCGUGCAUGGCCGGGCAAGCAGGCUCUCUCCAGCCCCGCCGGCGGCUGCGCGGUGGCAGGCUCGGCUCGGAGGCAGAGCCGCUGCCGAGUGGAGUGGAGAGCUGCGCCUUCCUUCAGGGUCAGAGGGAGCACCUCACUCAGCUACAGGAUCUUGGACGGCAGCGGCAGUGCCGCCCCUGGCGGGGAGCGCCUUGCCUGCCCCGCUGCCCUGAUCCUUUCUGGGAGGGGGAGACAGAGACCGGUAAGCGCUGGAGAGCCCUGGCUGGAGCAGGGUGAAGAACUGCAACAGGAUCCAUUGCAAAGAAGGCCCAGAAACUGAAGAUUUUUUUUCUUUCUUACUCAAGAAAAAUAUCUAUUCAAAUCAACGAGUAUUUUGAUUGAAUGAGGGCAGUGAAACUAGUCCAUAGUGGAAUUUUUUAAAAAGAGAGUGUCAAUCCAUUGUGAAUCAUGCACACGCAGCAGAGAAAGAACAGAACCUACCGCAGCCUGUGAACAGCAAGAAAUUUCAGCUGGAUGACUGCGUAAGGGGGUUUGCAAGACUGCCAGUAAUUUUUUAUAUUCAGAGUUAAAUAGAGCAAUAAGAUGGAAUUUAAGCUUUAGUGCAAUGGAUUGCGGCUCUUCAGUCAAUCAAAUUAUAGUUCAAUCAGUUCAUUUUAAUCACUUCUCUGGAGAGAAGUAAACCCCUAUGUUGAAGAAUAUGCAGCAAUUUUAUUGAUGGAAAGUUUAAUUGUUUCAUUUUUCCUUACCGUCUGUAACACACUAGACUUUUAAUCAGUGGGAACUGAAGUUAUAAUGAAGUAAAGUCCACUUUCCACAGUUCACAACUAGCUGAAAAUAAUUGGGUUGAGACUCCCAUCCAGACAGUGUAAUGCCUCUGGCAUUUUCCUGAAAACUACACUUAAUUGCUUUGCUGAUGUUGUUAAGUGGUCCUGAGGGGGAUGAAGUAGUAAAGCUGCCCACAUAUGCAGGGAAACAAUACACAAAAAAUGUCUUACAAGAUCCUUAAAGGAGGACCAACUAGUGACGAGAAGACAAUAUAUGGCUUUUUUUUUUCCCUUUUCUAUACGAGAGAGAACACACAGGAGAGGCUGAUAAAAUAAACUGUGGAAAUUCUAUAAACACUAACAGUAUUUUUAUUUAAGGGCUGAAAGCUUGGGACUAGAAGUACAGAAAAUGUGAAGGCAGACCUCUUGCAAUCAAACCUGCAACUUAAGGCUAGCCCAACUCACUUGGCAUUUUUAUGCUGAAGGCCAGUUAGCAUGCUGCCUGUCUUCAGCACCUUGGGCUGAGGAACAGAUGUACUCUUGUCCCCAGGGAGGGAGGACAGCUUGCUCUCUGUGCUCUGAAGUGACAGGACGUGAGCCAGCUAUGAUGAACUGAAAGCCUUGUCCGGGCAUCAGUGGGACCAGCGAGUGUACCCCAUUAGGCUAUAAACGUAGCCAGAGAAGGAAUAACACUUUGGAAUUUCUCCUUAUUUAGUGCAUUCAUGGGAAAUCCUCUUCAGUUGAAUGGUGUUUGUUUAAAAUGAUGAAUUAGCUGCUAGCCUCAAGGAUAUUCUGAUGCAGAAAUACAUUAGUUAUUUAAUAGAGAAGAAUAUUUAUUUAGGACACAUGAAUUAGGUAGUGCCCAUGAACUUGAGUUCAGGGUUGGAGCUGGCGCUGUUUUGGGGAAGCGAGGACAAUAGGGCUAAUUUAGCUUUAAGCAAGUGGGUUUUGGUUGGGUUUUUUUCUUGUUUAUUUACAUGUGCAGGCACAGUAAAAUCUCUCUCUCUCAACAGCCUGACCUUCCUCAGCUGGUAUCCAUGCAAACUUCAGUAUGGCCUUUGCUUAUUUUACUCUUGCUUUCGCAGGCUCCAAGCUGAACAACUACCCCCUGAUGACUUUCUAGAAAGGAAGGUAGGCAGAAUUUAGGCACUGGAGUCUAAAGCUGAAAUCUUAAAAGCUCCCUUUUCCCUUAACCCUAUAGCUGACCUUGGGGCCCCCUUGAGCUUCCAAGUUGGUACCUCGAUUUUUGGCCAACAGAGCUCUACCAGCACCUGAAAUGAUGCUUUUUCUGCUGAAACACGCUAAAGUCUAGACGGGACUUGAGUACCUUGGCAUGUAGCCCCACUUUAGCCUGACCAAUCCCCAUAUUAAUAAGCUUUAACACCUAUUUCUCCUAUGGCAAAAUAGUUAGUAACCUCCUGUGUGCUGGAACCGCCAACCAUAUGUCAAGGAGAUCAAGCUGUCAGUUUUGAGAAUAGCACUGGGAGUAGCCCAUUGUGUCUAAUUUACUCUGCUUGCCUGCCUCUGGGAGAAGAGCUCAGCAGCAGCAGUGGUUGUGCUCUGCUGUUCCUGGGGUUCCUUUGUGAGAUGAGUAAUGUGGUAUGGAAUGGUUCUAACAAAUGCAGCAAAUGAGGACUAUGUUGUGACAACUGAUGGGAGACUCUGGGUUUUGUACUCUUACUGAUGCUGAAAGACUGCAGGAACCAGGGCAAAUCUUCACUGCGGAAGAAGAAAACAACCUGAUGUGGCUGGCUGAAAUUUACCGCUGUGUAGUCUGGCUGUUUUCUUCCCUCUUUUAGGGGGUCCUCUCCCUGACCCUUCUUUUGGAGACAGGGUCCCUAUCCCAGCAGGAGGAGUGCUUCCUGGAACUGUAAUGCAGUAGUGUGCAGCAUGGCUGGCCAGCUGGACCUCUUUUCUAAGCAGACCUGCUUGCUGGGUCUCGCACACUUUAAAGUCUUACCCUGGAUCUGAAUGGAAACAAGAGGGAGUGAAUGAUUUGACACACAUUCUCUUGAUUUGACAUACUGUAUGGUUGUAGCAUGGUGUGUCCACCAGCAGAAAUCGAAAAGAUGCGUUCCAGUACAGGCACAAAUCCGACUGA